CCUACGGGUGGCAGCAGUGAGGAAUAUUGGUCAAUGGGCGCGAGCCUGAACCAGCCAAGUAGCGUGAAGGAUGACUGCCCUACGGGUUGUAAACUUCUUUUAUAAAGGAAUAAAGUGAGGCACGUGUGCCUUUUUGUAUGUACUUUAUGAAUAACGAUCGGCUAACUCCGUGCCAGCAGCCGCGGUAAUACGUAGGAUCCGAGCGUUAUCCGGAUUUAUUGGGUGUAAAGGGAGCGUAGAUGGGUUGUUAAGUCAGUUGUGAAAGUAUGCGGCUCAACCGUAGAAUUGCAAUUGAUACUGGCAGUCUUGAGUACAGGUGAGGUAGGCGGAAUUCGUGGUGUAGCGGUGAAAUGCUUAGAUAUCACGAGGAACACCGGUGGCGAAGGCAGCUUGCUAAACUGCCACUGACAGUGAUGCGCGAAAGUGUGGGGAUCAAACAGGAUUAGAUACCCGAGUAGUC
rnacentral:rRNA from 1 species